UACGUAGGGGGCUAGCGUUGUCCGGAAUCAUUGGGCGUAAAGAGCGCGUAGGCGGCCAGAUAAGUCCGGUGUGAAAGUCAAAGGCUCAACCUUUGAAUGCCGCUGGAAACUGUCUGGCUAGAGUCCGGGAGGGGCGAGUGGAAUUCCUGGUGUAGCGGUGAAAUGCGCAGAUAUCAGGAGGAACACCGGUGGCGAAGGCGGGUCUCUGGGC
rnacentral:rRNA from 1 species